CUUGCAGGAGGAGGUGAAGGAGGUGGUUCUGCUCGGCACUCAGCAGCGGCCACAUCUCCACCUGCAGCGACUUGACGGCUUCGGUGUCCUUCUCCUGGG
ensembl:miRNA